UCAUCAUACAGUAAAAAUUUACUUAUAAUGUGCUUGGGCUGCCUGUGGUUUAAUGUUUGUUUGUUCUUGCAAAGCGUGCGCAUGCUUCGUCCCAGGUGCUCCGUUAUGAGUUUAAGAUUCUAAACCUCUUUCAAAAUAAAGCAUCUAAGCAGCGCGAUGAAAUUCUAGUAUCAAAGAUGUUGGUUAUCACAUGUAUAUAAAAAGGAAUUGUCUCAAUGUACUGGAACAAAGCAGCCCCCACCAUCAACCACGAAGCAAGUACCACAGUCCGAUAUAUAAGCAAUCCAGUUUUUGCUCUGCUCAUUUUCAGAUAAAGAUCUUGGAGUUUUCCAAUAUUGUGCAGGUAUUUAGUCGUCCUAAAUGGCAAUUAUAUAUCAGCCAAAAGCAUGAAAUAUUCAUAUUCUAUUAACUUGCUUUAAUAAGAAAAAUAUAUAUUUGCAUUAAAUAACAAAUGUGUCAAGGCGGUGCGUUGGAAGUGCCAAUCGUAAUGCUGGAAUAAAAAUAUAAAGGGACAAAUUCAAUAAUAUAAUGC